ACGUUAGCGGCGGACGGGUGAGUAACACGUGGGUAACCUACCUAUAAGACUGGGAUAACUCCGGGAAACCGGGGCUAAUACCGGAUAAUACAUGAAACCGCAUGGUUUCAUGAUGAAAGACGGUUUUGCUGUCACUUAUAGAUGGACCCGCGGCGUAUUAGCUAGUUGGUAAGGUAACGGCUUACCAAGGCAACGAUACGUAGCCGACCUGAGAGGGUGAUCGGCCACACUGGAACUGAGACACGGUCCAGACUCCUACGGGAGGCAGCAGGA
rnacentral:rRNA from 1 species